UACGUAGGGUGCGAGCGUUAAUCGGAAUUACUGGGCGUAAAGCGUGCGCAGGCGGCUUCGCAAGUCAGGCGUGAAAUCCCCGGGCUUAACCUGGGAAUGGCGUCUGAAACUACGGAGCUGGAGUGUGGCAGAGGGAGGUAGAAUUCCACGUGUAGCGGUGAAAUGCGUAGAUAUGUGGAGGAAUACCGAUGGCGAAGGCAGCCUCCUGGGCCAACGCUGACGCUCAUGCACGAAAGCGUGGGGAGCAAACAGG
rnacentral:rRNA from 1 species